rnacentral:snoRNA from 1 species
GCCCUUGAUGACGACGAACUGGUGCAGUAUAUCAUCAUUGGACUAGGAGAAGGUUACAGUGAGGUGGUAUCUGCUGUGUGCGCUCGACCAGAUGGAGUCACGGUUGGGGAACUGUAUUCACAGGUCCUCAACUUCGAGG